UUUAUGUUAUUUUUGGUAAUCUUUUUUAAUAAAAAAAAAAUCAUAAAGAGAAAAUAUCCUAUUUGUGACAUAAAAUCAUUGAAUUGUAUCUUUUUUGCUAGAAAUAAUUCACAUUAAAAAACUUUCAUAUUAAUUUUGAUUCCCUCUUAAUGUUACAAAUAGUGCUUUGACCUAACUUUUAAUGAUAUAAAUAUCCAUACUAAUACUCAGUCUUGGGCAACGAAUACUAACCAUUCUAUACACAAAAUAUAGAAUUGGAUCCUCUUCAAUUUUU
rnacentral:lncRNA from 1 species